rnacentral:rRNA from 1 species
UACGUAGGGUGCAAGCGUUGUCCGGAAUUAUUGGGCGUAAAGAGCUCGUAGGCGGCUUGUCGCGUCGACUGUGAAAACCUGCAGCUCAACUGUGGGCUUGCAGUUGAUACGGGCAGGCUAGAGUUCGGUAGGGGAGACUGGAAUUCCUGGUGUAGCGGUGAAAUGCGCAGAUAUCAGGAGGAACACCGAUGGCGAAGGCAGGUCUCUGGGCCGAUACUGACGCUGAGGAGCGAAAGCGUGGGGAGCGAACAGG